CCUACGGGCGGCAGCAGUGGGGAAUAUUGGACAAUGGGCGAAAGCCUGAUCCAGCCAUGCCGCGUGUGUGAAGAAGGCCUUCGGGUUGUAAAGCACUUUCAGUGGGGAAGAAAGCCUUGGGGCUAAUACCCUCGAGGAAGGACAUCACCCACAGAAGAAGCACCGGCUAACUCCGUGCCAGCAGCCGCGGUAAUACGGAGGGUGCGAGCGUUAAUCGGAAUUACUGGGCGUAAAGCGCGCGUAGGCGGUCUGAUAAGCCGGUUGUGAAAGCCCCGGGCUCAACCUGGGAACGGCAUCCGGAACUGUCAGGCUAGAGUGCAGGAGAGGUAAGUAGAAUUCCCAGUGUGGCGGUGAAAUGCGUAGAGAUCGGGAGGAAUACCAGUGGCGAAGGCGGCCUUCUGGACUGACACUGACGCUGAGGUGCGAAAGCGUGGGUAGCAAACAGGAUUAGAUACCCGAGUAGUC
rnacentral:rRNA from 1 species